CUGUUUGUGGAUUGCAUGUCUACACAACAGCUCUGGAGGAUGUUUCAACAAUGGUCUGGAGUCGUUUUCUCCAUCUCGAACAGCAGCUUCGGCAUCACAGAGGACUGGUGGCUGGUGGCGAGGUGGGCAAUCCCAAAGCAAGCGCGCCGGAACUUCGACACCAUCGUCAUUCUUAUACAUUGGAGGAUCUGGAAAGAGAGGAAUGCUAGAAUUUUUCAGCAGUCAGUUCGUAGUAUCGAUAGAGCCCUAGACCAAAUCAGAGAGGAUAUUGGAGUGUGGAGAUCCACGGGUUGUGUGGCUGAUUUGGGUAGCUAG
rnacentral:rRNA from 1 species